GCUGAUGUCCUAGUCUUCAUCACGCCGCUGAUUUACCAGAAGAAAAAGGCUCAGAUUGAUCAGCUCAUGGCGUCGUCUCGAUCCAGGCUGGAAGAGAUACUGCUGAAGUUGCAGGAGCGAUUACCUGGAGCUGUGAAGAGGACCAAAGUUGAGUGACACCUAAGCAUCAAUGGCUCCUCCCACAGAAUUUGAUUGGUCCAUUGUAGAAAUUCACAAUGUUAUCUGAUGUUGAAAUGAAGACAGAUUUCUCAUGA